CGCACCCUGGGCCGCCAAGGUGGAACGUGCAAACUUAACUACUACACCACUGGGCCAGCCCCAAGGGAACCAAUUUUUGAUGUUGUGAAAGAAAUGUGUUAAUCUCCAAUGACAAUUUCUAGCUCCUGCCAGCCCACUCUGUCAGGAGGAGGCCCCAGAGCAUCAUCUUCUUUGGUAAUUUCACUGUCAUCAAUUAUUCUCUUCAGUUCCUCCAUCACACUUUUAUGUACAUAAGCCUCUUUUCAUGACAUCAUUUUUGUAAUUGCUGUUGUUGGCAUGUCUCAGUUUCCAUCAGGUUGGAACUCAAACUCCAGGAACUCAUGGCUGAACUUGCCCUUGUGACCCACGUAGUAAUGCAGAUAAAAGUCACUCUCCAUGGCUUGCAAAUAGUAACCAGAUUAAACCUAUGUUUCUUAAAUAUGGCCAGUGGUGGGUGACCAUUGUGGGUGAGCUGGCCACUUCAGGAGGAGCCCCAUUCCACUCCUGGAAGGCUUUGUCCUCUUUAAGUAUUGAAAUCUUUUGAUCGCGGUGACUGCCACCGUGGAUAUUGAUUCUGUCUUCAGAGUCACAGAACACUCUUCUUCCCUUUGACAUAUGGCAGCACUUCUCGAAACAACACGCUCGAUGCCUAGGUAAGAGUGGAGAGCAAUAUUCUAUGUGUCAGGCUGUGAUUGUCAGCAUUUAAAGCCUCCAUAAAACAUUACAGAUCAUGUUGAACUGGUAGUAUUGAGAGUUAAUUCCUUCUUUAUUUUUCUGAUAUUCUCCAACUUACAAACCUACAAGCCAUGCAUUAGUAAAGUUUUUGCAGCUGAGAGUACAACUCAAAAUUUACAAGAUGUCAAAGUCUCACUAUAGGAGCAAACAGGCCCACAAAAAGCCUAUUUUAUCUAUGAUGUUCACGAAGUAGAGCACUACGUUAUUUUGUAAUGUGGUGGCUCUCUAUACUAUGAUGUUUUCACAGAAAAAUGGAGUUGUCAUCAAAAACCUAUCUUCCACUUUUGUAGUGAUGUGAAGGUUGAAUCUUUCAUCCCAGACAUUUAUCAUUCGUUCAUUUAACAUUUAUCCACUUUCUUUAUUUAUACAGUCAUUCAUUCAUCAAACGUUCACUUAGUUUUUACUAUGUACUAGGCAUUUGGCUAGGUGCUAGUGCUAGAGAUACAGAGUUGAAUGAGAAUGCCUUUGGCCUAAAAUAGCCUGGUCAUCAAGGGUUUAAAAUAAGAGGUCAGGAGGAGGUGUCAGGAAUGGGGAUGAGAAAAAGAGUGUGACAAGAGGUCGGUAACCAGUGGUCAAAAGAAGGAAAAGUGGAAUUUGAAGUGGAAAUACUGGGGUGAUGUGAAAAUGUCUGUAUGGAGAUGUGACCCACCAAAGUUGUAUAACUGUGGCCUUGGAAGGACCAUGUUGCUCUAAAUUCUUUAUCUACCAUAAGAAAAAGCUGAGAUCCUGGAAGGACAUAGGGCAAGGCAAGGUCUCUUCGGGGUUGGAUCUCCUCAAGCCCUUCCCAAUGUUUCACUGUAAUUCCAGAUGACCUCAUCUUGUUAGAGGAAGGCAUCAGACAAUGGGGACCACUUGUUCCCUGCAGGAUUUUGUGCUUUUUUUUGUAUUUUGGUGCCACUUGUAGCAUGCUUUCUAUUUCCUAUUAUAGACAUAUAAUCUCAUAGAAUAAUAAUUUAUCCUUUCAACUGCUCAUUAGCCGUGCCAAGUUCUCUCCAUUUAAAGCUUUUGUUUUUUUUUUUUUAACUCCUAUUCUAACAACCCUUUGUGGAAAGCAUUUUAAUUUUCCAGACUAGUUGUUCACUAAAUCAGUAUGUCAAGAGUUUAAGUGCUCUAAAUGGUACCCUCUUAAUUUUUAAAAACUAAGGUGGCUUACAGAAUUUUCUGAUUUAGUUCUCAUGAAAGAUCAAGGAAAAAUGCUAGUGAAAAUUCUACACCUAAAUUCAAUGACAGACAUUUAGUUGUUUAUUUUUCACCAAAUUCCUUAAGUUUAUAGAGUUUCCUAACAAAGAAUGGUAAAAUCUACAUUACCAUGCAACCAAAAAUUUAACAGAAGAGGUUAAAUAAAACUACCUUGCUAAUCUAAUCUGUAUUAUAUCCAUUUGAGUAUCAUAUUGGGCAAAUCUUUUUUUAAAAAGUCCCCACUUUUUUUUUUCUUUAGAGAAAAUAUUGGCCUCAGAGUAUGCAGUAAGUUACUGCACCAAAGAAAAUUUCAAUCUUUUGAUUCUUGGCCUAAUUUUCUCCCUACAUUGCCAAUAUGGACAUAGGGGUUCCGUGCACAUAUUGAAGCAGAACUUAAUAAGAAGGAAAAAAGGAAAAAUAAGAAGGGAACAAGAAAAAAAUAAAAAGCAAUGCAGUAAUCUCUCCUUUGAUCAGCUCUGGAUAUAAAUAAGGGUGUGGUUAAAAAGUGAGUCAUUAUUCCAUUGCCUACUCCUUUUGUGGCAAAGACAAUGACGCUAUGGAAUAGAUGCUGUUAAAGAGGCAUUUAUAUAACUAUUAGCCUCUGAAACAAUAGACAGGCAGCAGUGUAUUGUUCUGGAAAACGUUCAAAGAGGAGGAGUCAUUUUGUCCUCUUUAAAAUUUAAUAUCUUUUUUUUCUGUAUCAUUUGGAGAAGGUUCCUUUUUCUCUUUUCUUAAGCAAAAUAAGUGUUCUGCACCAGUAGGUAGUGAGUGAAUUCUUCUUGCCAGCAGGAAGAAAAGCAAUUUUUGAAUGCCAAAUAUAGCUCUUUUGUGUGAAAAUAUCACAUAGCCAAAGACAUUUUAAAGAAGAAAGGAAAGAUACAAGUUCUGAAUUAAUAUUUUUAAAAUGUAAAAGGCAGGAGAACGUUAGCAAUAGAGCAGGAAGAAACAAGUCGUCAUAUCUACAGUCAUGGCAGCCCCGAAGUUUGAAUGUUUAUCCUUUUUGCAAUGCUCCUGGCUUCUUGGGUGGUCUCAGAAUGAUGAUUUAUCAUCUGAGGCCGUGUCUAUAGGAGGUAGGUGUUUCUAAUCAUCUUGUUUAGUUCAAGACAUUUCUUGCCUUCCUUGACCUUCGCUAUUUGUUUCUAUGCAACAUUGCCAACUAAGCAAAGCGUGAGCCACCUUGGAUAUAGAAGAUGGCUCUAGUGUUGGGGACAGACAUAGAAUAAUCUCAUGCUUGUCUUUGUCUUUAAAUUUUUAAAUCACUCUGACACCUUUGCAAGCCAUACACUCUAUAGAGUCUCUACUCAUUAUUUACAUGUGGGAGAUCAUCAGCCAGUUACACAGAGUUUUGAUAGGCAUGAUGGGCAUCUAUGUCUUUUACCCACCCGGUAUCCUUUCCUGCUUCAUUUGGUGAUUACAUAUGCUUUUUCCUUGAAGAACUAAUCAUCCUUGUCCCAUGUGAUCUUGGUGUCACCAUCAGUCCAGUGGUCUUGCCUUUCUCCCCAUUAGUGAGUAGACAUGUGACCCAAGCUUGAACAGUGAGGCACUUCUCAUGAAUUUGAAUCUUGAAUGGAAUGACAUAAAGAUGGAACAUGGUCACUGAGUCAUUUUGUAAGUGAUACCCUAAAAAGAGUCCCCAUUGAUUCAUUAAUCCUCUUACCUGGACCAUAUGAGUUGUCCUGAUUUCUUCUUCCCUAGGCCAGCCUAACCAGCUUCUUUGAUUCCAUUAGAUAACUUACAUGGUUGCAACAGAUUUGAUUUUCAAAACCAGGAUGUUUGCAAUCAAAAAAUCUGAACUACAACAAGCAGAAAUAUUUCCUCAAUAUGACUCAUAUGUUAGAAAAAUACCUAGGUGAAAAGCUUGUGGGGAGACAGUGUUCAUAUUUUCAGAAACUCAUGCAUUGGCUUAUAUCUUCCCAUUACAUUUGUCUCAGUUUUAUUCAUUUGUUCAUUUAUUCAGUUAUAUACUCUUCUAUCCACUCAUUUGUUGACUAUCUGCCAUUGUCUAGGCACUAAGGAUAUUCCCUUCAGAUAUCUGCAUGGCACACUCCCUCAUCUCUUUUAAGACUGAACAAAUAUCACCUUUGCAAUGAGACCGAUAGCCUCCUUCCCCAGUCUACAGUCCCAAUCCCCUGAUUUUUUAUAGCACUUUUCACCUUCUCAGAUACCAUAUUAUUUACUAGAGGUUUUGAUUGUUGUCAAUCCUCCUGAAGUAGAGAAUCAACUCCAAGAAAAUAGGAACUUUUGUCUGUUUUGUUCAUUUUUGUAUUCCCAGCACUCAGAAUAGUACCUGGCAUUUGUUGAAUAGACGAAUGCAUUGAAGUUUCUUUAAAAGUACAUACAUACAUUAUUAAAGGAGCUUAUUGUGGCUUUGUAAUGUAUCAACUUGGCUAUGCUGAACUACAGUCCUUAAAGUUCCCUUUCCUACAGGUUUUUGAUGAGGAUGGGCCACAAGAUAGACUCUUGUAGGAGAUUUGGAGGGUGGAAGUGAGGCAGCAGCUGUUUCGUAGCUAGGACCCGUGUGGCUUAGCUGCUGGCUCACCUCACUGGUGUGAAGCAGCAGCAGGUCCGCAGCCGCCUCAUCGUCUUACAGAUCUUCCUUUAGCUUUGUGACGCUUGGGCCAGGUGCGUGUUUUAGCUUCAUGACCAAGGGCCCCGGCUUCUUCAGGACACUCCCACCACCAAGGUCAGAGGCAAUAAGAACACACAAGUUUUAUAGCUUUAUGGGCUCAAAAUCAUGCCUGUGAAUUCCAGCUUGUCUUUGAUUUGAUCCACUUUAUGUCAGUCUCUGCUGUCCAAUUGCUUGCCUUGGACUUCAACCUUCAGUGUCAAACUGAAGACAACAGUCUUAUGGAGGCUGAUUAACCAUCUCCCAGAAUUGUAUAGGGUCAAGUUCUAUUUUCUUAAAAAAUCUAUCUUUCUACCUACCUACCUACCUAUCUAUCAUCUAUCUAUCUAUCCUAAUGUCUGAAUGUUGAAUGAACUCUAAUCCCUGACUGAUCCAAAUGCUGGUACCUAGAAAUGGGGUGCUGCCAUAACAAAAGCUAAAAUGUGAGAGUGAUUUUCAAACCAGGCCAUGUGUAGAAGUUGGAAAUGCUGUAAGAAUAUUGAGGAAGUCUUAGCGAAAGCUUUAAGUGCCUUGAAUGUAAUUCUCAUAAUGUUCAUAGAAUUUCUAAUUGUGUGGUGCCUGGCAGUGAGGGCUUAAAGGAAUGGGAGAAAAGUCUUAUUGGAAACUGGAGUAAAGGGAAGAAAUUUAACAGCACUCUUGCCUGCAAUAAUGUGAAAAGUAGAAAAUGUGCCUAAUGAACUGGAGAUCUAGCUAAGGAGAUUUCCAAGCAAAGUGUUUAGGUUCCACCUGGUUUCUUCUUGCUGCUUGAAGUAAAAUGUAAGAUGAGAGCGAAACUCAGGGAAGGACUGUUAAACAAAAAUAAAUCAGAAUAUGAUGUUUUGAAAGCUCUCAGACUCUUCAGAUGGUCCAGGAUGCUAAAAAAAAAAAAAAAAAAAAAGGCUCUGUGCAAAGAUCAAAUCCAGAGCAAUGCCAGGAAAACAUUAUGUGAAGAAAGAUAAAGUCCAGGGUGUGGCCAUAGAAUUUUUUUAUUAAGAUCUCAAAAAGAUCUAAGGUGGUGCCUCAGAGAACCUUCAGUCAGACUAAAGGCCCUUGAAAGAGAUUAAGAGCACAUCUGCCACAGAGGGUCUCUCAGUCAAAUAAUAGAGCUUGUAGGAAGUUUCAAGGCAUUGUCCCUCAGUCAUCUCAGCAGAAGCCCAAGGUAGACAGCAGUUUAUCCAGAAGAAGAUUGUGGGUGUGGCUUUUGUGUAUUGGGUUUGACCCCAGGAAGUUUCAUAUGGGACUCACAAAGUUCUCAAAAGAGAUACAUGCAGAAACAUCACCAACUAGGACUGAGGGGGAUUGAGACAGUAUAGAAUAAGCAGAGAUUGGCCUUCGAAUGUCCAGAAUUUUAACACUUGCUACCUUUUGUGAAAAUGGAAAGAUAACUCAGAGAGGAGCCAGGAGCCCAGAGGGCAGAGUUGGGAGACAUGAAGAAUUAUUUCUGAUAUGAGGCCUAAGUAAGGCCCUUCCAACAUUUACCUACCUGAAUUUCAGAGUUGUGGUGGACCAGUAAUCCCCCUGUGUCUCCCACCCCCAACCUUGAACAUAGCUAUCUAUAAUGAGUAUUCUAUGCCUGUCCUGCCAUUGUAUGUUGGAUGUGUGUGGGGGAGGGGGGGGAGAUAAUUUGUCUGUUUCAUUUCACAGGUUUACAAGGAACUGUUUUGAGGAGUUGUGCUUGAGGAAUUACACAUGAGGAACCUCUUCCAUCCUUGAACGUGAUUUAGAUGAUGAGAUUCUGGGCUUUGAGCUGAUAUUGUAGUAUGACGAGAAUUUUGAGGUCUUUGGGGGCAACAAGUAUAUUUUGCAUUUGAGAGGAAUGUGAAUCAUUGGGGGCCAGAAGAUGGAUUACAGGUAGUCUCCAAGGUGGCCCCCCAGUGAUCCUUGCCUCCCAGUAUUCACACUUUUGUAUAAUCUCUUCCUGUAAGGUGCGGUCUGAGCUUAUUGACUCAUUCUAACAAGCAGAAUACAGCAGAAGUGAUAGGAUGUCCAUUCAGAGAUGAGAUUAUAAAAGACUGUUGUUUCCAUCUGGGAGGUGCUCUCACUCUCUUUGAAUGGCCCACUCUGGGAGAAGCCAGCUGCCAUGUCGUGAGACAGCCCUGUGGGCCACUGUCAUAAGGAGGCCUGGAAGAGUGAAGAAAGGUCUGAUUGAUCAUAAGGUCCUAUCGAAUGUCAAAGCUGGCCCUGGCUGACCUCCCAUCUAUUCAGAGCCGCUUUGAUUUAAUCUCCAAACUGGCUGCUUCUCCAGGCUGUGACUUCUAUCUGCAACCCAUGUGUCAGCAUUGAGAUACGACCUGCUUCACGCUCCAUUCAUCUCAUUUGAAGGACGGAAAUUAAACUGGAGGGUCGAAGAGGGGAACUGCUCAAAAUACACACACAUUAACUGAAGCCUUUUGUGUGGGUGCAUUAUAGGAGUCUGAACAACCAUUAAAAAUGAUAUGAAAAUGAAAUUGAUCUCUACUCCACUGAAACGGCUUAGAACUUUGCCUCCCUCCACCUCCCCCUUCAUCUAGUCUUCUUUCUUCCCUCCCCGGUUUGUAGUAAUCAUAUGCACCUCAUCUCAUUAUGGUUCAAAGUAAAAGGAGAGAAAAAUUUACAGUUUUUCAGUUUCUUUUAAAGGUGUCCUUUAGAAAAUUCACUUAUUGCCUGCAUUUGCACAGAUAAUAUUUGAAAAAAAUGGAGAUACAAAAAGCUGGUGACCAGACUAACAGAAAUGUUGACUGCUUUCUUUAGCAUUAUGGAUUCAUUGAAGUUUCACCCUUCAAGGUUUUUAAAAAAAAUGCAAUUAAAACUCAAACUUUGGGAAUAGUCCUAUAACCAUCAGGACACCUUGCUACAGUAUAAAUCUAUAUAUCCUCGGUUCCAUUUUUUAUUUCUAAACUCCCCUUUGUUCUUUUCAUUGGCCCUUUUACACUAUUAAUUAAGGUUAGUAACUAAGUGAAAGCUUGAUUACUUAUAGAUUUGUUUGUUAUAAUAAGCAGAAAAGCAAACUCUAUUUCAUUUACUUAGAGGGGUCCCCUAACUAUAAGAAUAAGAUCAUUAUAUUUUAAGCGUGUUGGGAAGGUUAACUAUAUUUAUUUCUGUGUUUAUUCAUUUGCUCAUCCAUUCAUGCAUUUGUUAUUUGAGCUCUGUACUACGAUGAUAUCCAGGUAAGAACAUUUUUUUUAUUUUUUAUUUAAAAAGUAUAUUAUAUACUUCCUGUUAUAAUGGAUGUACAUAUUCAAUAUCGAAAAACCAAUCAGCAAAGACAGGUGAGGAGAGAGAAUGAGAGAGAGAUACAGAGACAGAGACAGGGAGAGAGACAGAGAGAGACAAAAUAGCAAACACCAAAAAUACUAUUGACCAGAAUAACCAACAUUAAUACUUCAGUCUUUAUCUUUCCUAGCGGUUUUUUUGGUAUAUGCACACUUUUUAUUCCUCUUAUAUGAAGUUAUACUGUUCCUGCUUGGGAUAAAACUAUAUUUUCAGUUAUUCUAAUCAUCCUCUUUUAUGUCUAUAUAAUAUCACUUUGUAUGGAAGUGAUUGUCUUAUUUUGUUAAUAUUGCAUCGAUGACCAUUCAGAUCUUCUAAAUUUUUCACUACUAUAAAUGUUAUCAUGUAAAAACAUUUUUAUGCCUCCAUGAUUUCUUCCAAAAUUCUCUAAUUUUGGAAAAAGGAUGUGCCCAAUUUAAUAUUUGUAGUCAAAAGUAUUUUCUGCUGUGGUUUUUCAUUUAAAUACUCAUUUGGAAAAAAGUUUCCUUCCUAAAUAAUCAUUUGUGUUUUCUUUCACACAUAGUGUUUAUUUGUUUUAUAUUUAAUAUAUAUGCAAGGGAAUACGUACUACAGUGAAUAUCAAUGCCAUUUCUACAUAAACCACUUCACAGGACUUAUGGGAAAGCUUUCAAACUCUGGUUAUAUAGCGAGAAAGGUUUUGAGCAUCUGAGGCAUUCAAAGAAUGCCACUUAGGCAUUUAGUUUUGCAAGUAGGGAAGCAGGAAAAGACAAGAAGAUUGGAUCCUUUUUGUAAUGCUUCUCACUAAAAUUUGUUUUCCAGCAUAUCCUUAUGUAAAUAUCUUGUUACUCAAGGCAGAACGUGUUGAAAAAGAUGCAUUUUGAAAGUUAAUCCAUUGCCAAGUGGAAGUGGGUUCAUUGCAUUCAUGUAGUACUUUGCAACAGAAAUUUUUGCAAUGAUGGAAAUAUUCCAUAUCUCUGUUGUUCACUAUAGUGGCCACUGUAAUGUGGCUGUUGAACAUGUAAAAUGUGUCUAGUGUGACUGUGGAACUGAAUAAUUAAUUUAUGUAAUUUAAAUUUAAAUCAAUUAGCCACUUGUGGCCAGUGGCUAUCUUAUU